GCUGCUUUUGUGGUUGUGUUUGCUGCUGACUUGAGCGGGGUGCUGGGUAAGAAACAGUUAUCUGGGCUGCUGGCUGAGGAGUAGAUAGGCUAAGACUGGUAGGUAGUGCAACAGCUGGCUGUUGCUGUACACUAUAGAGAGUCUGCUGAGGCUGUGAAUAUUGCUGCUGUAAGGCAGCUGCUGCAGCUGCCGCCUGCUGCUGCAAAGCGGCCGUCUGAGUUAGCUGGUAGUUGGUUGGUGUUUGCGUAGUCAGGCCCGCCGCGGCCAGCGCCGUCUGCUGGGUGUAUAUUGUAGGAGAGGCUCCAAGCAGCGACGGCUGCUGCACACCAAGAGCAGCUGGCUGGGACACGGCGGUGGCUGUAAACUGAGUGGCCCACGGAGGGUUCUUCUGUCCUCCGAACUGAGCCAUGGCGAAAGGCAAAGCUCCCGGCGCCUAGCUUCUGGAACUGCAACCUGAGCGCCGCCCGACCGCGGCCAUCGCCGGCCCCUCCGCGCCACCCGCACCUCCGCUCGCC
rnacentral:lncRNA from 1 species